GACGAACGCUGGCGGCGUGCUUAACACAUGCAAGUCGAACGGAAAGGCCCUGCUUUUGUGGGGUGCUCGAGUGGCGAACGGGUGAGUAACACGUGAGUAACCUGCCCUUGACUUUGGGAUAACUUCAGGAAACUGGGGCUAAUACCGGAUAGGAGCUCCUGCUGCAUGGUGGGGGUUGGAAAGUUUCGGCGGUUGGGGAUGGACUCGCGGCUUAUCAGCUUGUUGGUGGGGUAGUGGCUUACCAAGGCUUUGACGGGUAGCCGGCCUGAGAGGGCGACCGGCCACAUUGGGACUGAGAUACGGCCCAGACUCCUACGGGAGGCAGCAGUGGGGAAUAUUGCACAAUGGGCGGAAGCCUGAUGCAGCAACGCCGCGUGCGGGAUGACGGCCUUCGGGUUGUAAACCGCUUUCGCCUGGGACGAAGCGUGAGUGACGGUAAUGGGUAAAGAAGCACCGGCUAACUACGUG
rnacentral:rRNA from 1 species